UGGGGAAUAUUGCACAAUGGGCGCAAGCCUGAUGCAGCCAUGCCGCGUGUGUGAAGAAGGCCUUCGGGUUGUAAAGCACUUUCAGCGAGGAGGAAGGUGGUGAGCUUAAUACGCUCAUCAAUUGACGUUACUCGCAGAAGAAGCACCGGCUAACUCCGUGCCAGCAGCCGCGGUAAUACGGAGGGUGCAAGCGUUAAUCGGAAUUACUGGGCGUAAAGCGCACGCAGGCGGUUUGUUAAGUCAGAUGUGAAAUCCCCGGGCUCAACCUGGGAACUGCAUUUGAAACUGGCAAGCUAGAGUCUCGUAGAGGGGGGUAGAAUUCCAGGUGUAGCGGUGAAAUGCGUAGAGAUCUGGAGGAGUACCGGUGGCGAAGGCGGCCCCCCUGGACGAAGACUGACGCUCAGGUGCGAAAAGCGUGGGGAGCAAAACAGGAUUAGAUACCCUGGUAGUCCACGCUGUAAAACGAUGUCGAUUUUGGAGGUUGUGCCCUUGAGGCGUGGCUUCCGGAGCUAACGCGUUAAAUCGACCGCCUGGGGAGUACGGCCGCAAGGUU
rnacentral:rRNA from 1 species